UACGUAGGGCGCAAGCGUUGUCCGGAAUUAUUGGGCGUAAAGAGCUCGUAGGCGGUCUGUCGCGUCGGAUGUGAAAGCCCGGGGCUUAACCCCGGGUCUGCAUUCGAUACGGGCAGACUAGAGUGUGGUAGGGAGAUCGGAAUUCCUGGUGUAGCGGUGAAAUGCGCAGAUAUCAGGAGGAACACCGGUGGCGAAGGCGGAUCUCUGGGCCAUUACUGACGCUGAGGAGCGAAAGCGUGGGAGCGAACAGG
rnacentral:rRNA from 1 species